rnacentral:rRNA from 1 species
GACGAACGCUGGCGGCGUGCCUAAUACAUGCAAGUCGAGCGAAUGGAUUAAGAGCUUGCUCUUAUGAAGUUAGCGGCGGACGGGUGAGUAACACGUGGGUAACCUGCCCAUAAGACUGGGAUAACUCCGGGAAACCGGGGCUAAUACCGGAUAAUAUUUUGAACUGCAUGGUUCAAAAUUGAAAGGCGGCUUCGGCUGUCACUUAUGGAUGGACCCGCGUCGCAUUAGCGAGUUGGUGGGGUAACGGCUCACCAAGGCAACGAUGCGUAGCCGACCUGGGAGGGUGAUCGGGCACACUGGGACUGAGACACGGCCCAGACUCCUACGGGAGGCAGCAGGAGGGAAUCUUCCGCAAUGGACGAAAGUCUGACGGAGCAACGCCGCGUGAGUGAUGAAGGCUUUCGGGUCGUAAAACUCUGUUGUUAGGGAAGAACAAGUGCUAGUUGAAUAAGCUGGCACCUUGACGGUACCUAACCAGAAAGCCACGGCUAACUACGUGCCAGCCGCCGCGGUAA